CAAUUGAAAGCAUCCUGUCGGGCUGUAUCACCGCCUGGUUUGGCAACUGCACCGCCUGCAACUGCAAGGCUCUCCAGAGGGUGGUGCGGACUGCCCAACGCGUUACCUGGGGCAAACUACCCGUCCUCCAGGACACCUACAGCACCCGAUGUCACAGGAAGGCCAAAAGGAUCAUCAUGGACAUCAACCACCUGAGCCACUGCCUGUUCACCCCGCUAUCAUCCAGAAGGCAAGGUAGGCUAGUUGAGAACAAGUUCUCAUUUGCAACUGCGACCUGGCCAAGAUAAAGCAAAGCAGUGUGAACAGACAACAACACUGUAAGGGUUUUCCUCCGCUUCGUCUGAAGAGAAGGUGUAGCAGGGAUCGGACCAAAACACAGCGUGCCAAACGUGACGAACAAAACGGAGCGAUUUCUCCUACACAAAGAAAACAUCCGAAGUUCUUCAAAGG